rnacentral:rRNA from 1 species
UGGGAAUUUUGGACAAUGGGCGAAAGCCUGAUCCAGCAAUGCCGCGUGUGUGAAGAAGGCCUUCGGGUUGUAAAGCACUUUUGUCCGGAAAGAAAUCCUUGGCUCUAAUACAGUCGGGGGAUGACGGUACCGGAAGAAUAAGCACCGGCUAACUACGUGCCAGCAGCCGCGGUAAUACGUAGGGUGCAAGCGUUAAUCGGAAUUACUGGGCGUAAAGCGUGCGCAGGCGGUUUGCUAAGACCGAUGUGAAAUCCCCGGGCUCAACCUGGGAACUGCAUUGGUGACUGGCAGGCUAGAGUAUGGCAGAGGGGGGUAGAAUUCCACGUGUAGCAGUGAAAUGCGUAGAGAUGUGGAGGAAUACCGAUGGCGAAGGCAGCCCCCUGGGCCAAUACUGACGCUCAUGCACGAAAAGCGUGGGGAGCAAAACAGGAUUAGAUACCCUGGUAGUCCACGCCCUAAAACGAUGUCAACUAGUUGUUGGGGAUUCAUUUCCUUAGUAACGUAGCUAACGCGUGAAGUUGACCGCCUGGGGGAGUACGGUCGCAAAGAUUAAAACUCAAAGGAAUUGACGGGGUCAUAGCUGUUUCCU